CUUGUGUAAGGUUAACGUUUUGAUUUGUAGAGUUUUCUUGGUAUGUUACUAAAGGGGGCUCAAUUUCGUUAAUUGCCAUUGGUUUGUCUAAUAUGGCUUAAGUUUACAUUUUGGAGAAAAAUUAUUUCUUGUUACUAGUUCUAGCAUUAUAUUUUUCAUAUUUUUAUGAAAUUACUCAAUAUUGGAGAAGGGUUUUAAGUGGUAUGGGGGAUUGGGAAAAGAAAAUGUUAAGCUUUAACGCUUUUAUGAAGGAUGGCUGCUUUUAGGCCCACUAGUCAUUUCAUUUUUUGAUAUAUUACCCUGUGGUGUAGGUUGUAUCCUGUUUCAAAUAAGCUGUGCCUUAUUUGAAUAGCUCUUAAAUUUAGUGGCGGUUUAGAGAAACUAGGAAAAACUUAAGGUUGAACUAAAAUUCUUUUCUUGAGUAACCAGCUAUUUCUGGGUGCGGUAGGUUUAUCACCUCUACUUGGAAAUCUUCCCACUYUAUKGCAACA
rnacentral:rRNA from 1 species